rnacentral:rRNA from 1 species
UGGGACUGAGACACGGUCCAGACUCCUACGGGAGGCAGCAGUGGGGAAUAUUGCACAAUGGGCGCAAGCCUGAAUAGCAGCCAUGCCGCGUGUGUGAAGAAGGCCUUCGGGUUGUAAAGCACUUUCAGCGAGGAGGAAGGUGGUGAACUUAAUACGUUCAUCAAUUGACGUUACUCGCAGAAGAAGCACCGGCUAACUCCGUGCCAGCAGCCGCGGUAAUACCA